GGUCAGCAAGAAGAUUGGCGUUUCCCCUAUAUACAAGGAGGCUAAGUGUUCUUAAGGACAGAAAAAAUAGAAGGAAAAAAGAAAUCACCAAAAAGAUUGCACCUUAAAGCAGAGAGAAAGCAAAUAACAGCGGAAGAGGAGUUUUCAGAAGGUCCUACCUAUUGCUCUGAAAUCGCCUCGCAGACCACAUACUGGUAUAGGUGAAAAACUACCACCUUAAGCUUUGUGUAUACCGUCCUCCCAGCCAAUUGAAAACUUUUACCAACACGUUACUUUGACCUUGAAACAACAGGACUAGAACAUGUUUUGCUGAAGAGUCAGUAAAACAAAGCUACGGAAGUCAUUGGAUUAAGAGUUUGGAUGGGAAAAUGUUUCGUGAUGGUGAAGAAGUGGACGCUGUACACUUGGUGGCUGCUGUUGAUGCUCUUUUGAAUUUCUUCACAAAAUUCCAGUCAAAAGUUGUUUUAGUUGGACAUAAUGUCAACUUUUGCAAUAUUUUUUUUUUUUGGCCAUAACGCCAUAUUUUUCUAGAUUUUCUCUGCAGAAUUGUGAUGAAACACAAGACAUUGGUAACUGUGUUGGAAGGUUUGUUGACAAAAAACAGUUGUUCAAAUCUUUUGAUUCAAAAGUCGGUUCAUUUUAGUUAGAGAAUUAAAUUUGUACAUUCA